GGACGAGGGCCGCGGGCGCGGCGGGGUUGUUCUGCUGAGCUCCUGGAGACUGGAGCCCUGAGGGAAGCGGGGCGACUGCUGGGGUGCCGGUGCCGGGGUGACGAGGGCACAGGGACGGGCGGGCCUGUCUGCGCUCUGGGCUCCCUGCGCCCAGCACGGCCGCCGGGGCGGUGGACGGGAGCGGCCUGAGCGGUGUGUCAGCGAGAGGCGCGGCGUCCACUCCGACCGAGCCUUCGAGCAGAGAGCAGAACAGCAGGCGAGCGAGGACACACCGGAGUCAGCACCUCCGUUCCUUUGCCUCACGUCUCCAGUGCCGGUGUUGCCCGUAACCCGGAACAACCGUGAGAACGACUCCCCGGAGUGUGCGGCUCAGGGACCGAUCCACGGUGUUGAACGCGAAGCGGCCGGGACGCCUGCCGGGCGGCGGUGGCAGGAAGUGCCCUCCGGCCGGCCGUCGUGCCUCGGGUCCGAGCUCCUUCCCCGUCAGUUCCGCGCCGGCGUUUACGGCGUCGGCUGCUGAGGCCCCAGACGCUGGCCCCCUUCCUGUCAUGGAAGCCAAGUACUGGGUGGGAGAGGUCCGUGAGCAGCUGGGAUGCGAUUGUGGUGGGGACCUGACUGGCUGCCCUUUCGGGCCUCUUUGCGGAGACCCAUCUCUUCACGUCCCCACCGCUGCGUGUGCCAUACAGGAGCCUCACACUUGCCCGAUGGAUCCACUGAUUCUGCCCUCCGGAGGGAAGGUGUGUGUGUGCAUGUAAACGUGCAUACGUGAGUCUGCACGUGUACAAUGUGAAUGCAUACACGCGUGUGUGUACACCUAGUGUACACAUGUGAGUGCAUGUGAGCAC